rnacentral:rRNA from 1 species
GACAGAGGGUGCAAACGUUGUUCGGAAUUACUGGGCGUAAAGCGCGUGUAGGCUGCUCUGCAAGUCGGGUGUGAAAGCCCCGGGCUCAACCUGGGAAGUGCACUCGAAACUGCAGAGCUUGAGUCCUGGAGAGGAAGGCGGAAUUCUCGGUGUAGAGGUGAAAUUCGUAGAUAUCGAGAGGAACACCGGUGGCGAAGGCGGCCUUCUGGACAGUGACUGACGCUGAGACGCGAAAGCGUGGGGAGCAAACAGG